rnacentral:rRNA from 1 species
UACAGAGGUCUCAAGCGUUGUUCGGAUUCAUUGGGCGUAAAGGGUGCGUAGGCGGCGCGGUAAGUCGGGUGUGAAAUCUCGGAGCUUAACUCCGAAACUGCAUUCGAUACUGCCGUGCUUGAGGACUGGAGAGGAGACUGGAAUUUACGGUGUAGCGGUGAAAUGCGUAGAUAUCGUAAGGAAGACCAGGUGGCGAAGGCGGGUCUCGUGGACAGUUCCUGACGCUGAGGCACGAAGGCCAGGGGAGCAAACGGG